AGCAAAGAUGGCGGCUAGCUGUACGGGAAUGGGACAACGUGGGCAAGGAUUUCUGUGUAUAUGAAUGCUUUUCCCGUAAGCUGAAUCAGCCCAGCGUUAUAUACAUGAAACGGGACCAAAAAAGUGGUUACUUAAGAAGUUACUUGACUGAUUUAUCCAGUAGUGUCAACAACAUACACGAAGCUGGACUCUUCCAUCCACAAAAAUGGCAACUGUUAUAAAACUUCCGUGUGGGAGCUGAAGACAAAAUACCUGAGGACAAGACAGGAGGAGGAUACUAUUUACAAGCUUAUUUUAGAAUGAUGAUUUUUUUUUUUUUUUUGCAAUCCAGGAGCAGGUAAACACUUGUGUUCUUAUGUAAGGAUCAAGUCAAAACUGAACCUGGUUCCUUCAGGGGAAUCCCCCAAGGACAUCCCUGCAGGGUACCCAAGUCAUUAAAUUCUGCUGCAGAAAAAGAAUUAAAAUGCACCACUUUUUUUUCCUUUCUUAAUUAAUGCACUAUUAUUAUAGUAUCCAAAAAUAGUCAGAGAAAUUUUUGUUUCUCAAAAGCAGGGAAAGUUCAGGGAACAAAUGGAGAAGAUGGGAAGGUUCCCUUUUGUACUGUACCUUUG